UUCCUACGGGACGCAGCAGUGGGGAAUAUUGCACAAUGGGGGGAACCCUGAUGCAGCGACGCCGCGUGGGUGAGGAAGUACUUCGGUAUGUAAAGCCCUAUCAGCAGGGAAGAAAAUGACGGUACCUGACUAAGAAGCCCCGGCUAACUACGUGCCAGCAGCCGCGGUAAUACGUAGGGGGCAAGCGUUAUCCGGAUUUACUGGGUGUAAAGGGUGCGUAGGCGGCCUGCUAAGUCUGGAGUGAAAGGUACCGGCUCAACCGGUACAGGCUCUGGAAACUGGCGGGC
rnacentral:rRNA from 1 species